CAUCAUGGUUGAUCCUGGGUGACCCAGUCGAUCAUGCCAAAGUACAAAUGUAUUGGACUCAGUAUUCUUUAGAUUUACUGCAGAAUGUGCCUCAAUAGCACUAAUUCUUGUCCAAUACAGGCCACAAGAUAAAGAUGAGAACUUCACAAUAACCCUCUUUUGGCCAGAGACAUUCUUUGUAAUGAUGAGAUAUUCAAGAUUAUUCUCAUCUAUUGUCUCAAUAUGAUAUCCAUUUU
rnacentral:lncRNA from 1 species